rnacentral:rRNA from 1 species
CCUACGGGAGGCAGCAGUGGGGAAUUUUGGACAAUGGGCGCAAGCCUGAUCCAGCUAUUCCGCGUGUGGGAAGACGGCCUUCGGGUUGUAAACCACUUUUGUAGAGAACGAAAAGUCUGUUGAUAAUACCGAUAGAUGAUGACGGUACUCUAAGAAUAAGCACCGGCUAACUACGUGCCAGCAGCCGCGGUAAUACGUAGGGUGCGAGCGUUAAUCGGAAUUACUGGGCGUAAAGGGUGGGCUGGGGGGUUUGCAAGAUGGAUGGGAAAGCCCCGGGCUUAACCUGGGAAAGCCAUACAUGACUGCAAGACUAGAGUGCGUCAGAGGGGGGUGGAAUUCCAAGUGUAGCAGUGAAAUGCGUAGAUAUUUGGAAGAACACCGAUGGCGAAGGCAGCCCCCUGGGACGCAACUGACGCUCAUACACGAAAGCGUGGGGAGCAAACAGGAUUAGAUACCCCUGUAGUC